rnacentral:lncRNA from 1 species
UGCAUCGCUGCCAUGCCUCGGAACGCACAACGCAUCAGCUCUAAACUGUCGUACGAAGUCAAAGAGGUUGGUUUCCAAGAGCUGUACAUAUUUGUGGAGAGGUGAGUUUGUUUUUAGUUAUCUCAGCAACAUCCUGAACAAGCUACGACAGCUCUGCAGGAGUCUCAUUGCUGUUGUAGGUACAGAGAAGAGCAGACCAAAGUUCUCAAGAAGAUGGAGAAAACAGACAAACUGGAGAUGAUACAGUUUUUCAAGACUUUGAAGACGUGUCAGGAACUCAAGAAGCACAUCCAGACUGAAGGAGAAGAAAUCAGUAGCUCGCUUUGUAAGGAAAUCUUGGAAAUGCUUAAAAAAAUAGAAGAUUUGACUCUAGAACUUCUGAGGGGCGUUGUAACAAAGGUGGCGAAGGUACAGUAUCUGCUCCACUGACCUAAUGUGUACAGGACAGUAUCAUUAAAAACUGUACUGCCUGCCACACAGGUCAUUGCCAUGAACUUGUGUGUGAAUGCAUCCACUAUUCCAGACAAGUUGAAAUGCCUUUUGUUUUUGUGAACAGAAGCACCUUCAGCGUUACUUCCAGUCAGACAAACAGCAAUUUGUGCUGUUGAUUGAUUCAGUGAGUAGGAUGUUUCCACGUCUGGAGAACUGUGACCAAGUAUGACAAGUUCAAAAUCGAAACCUAAAACAUCAUCUCUUCCAGCUGUGUAUGUGUUUAGGUUCUUCUGCAAAUGCCUCUGUUGGUCUUUGUGUCUCAGACAGUGACUCUUGAAGUCUGCAAGAUCCUCGUCCAUAGUUACAUCAAGUAUCUUCUAAAAACAAAGGUGAAGAAACUGCAGCGGUGCUGGAACCCUGAUGUCGGUGAAGCAGUGAGUAAAGAUGCUGGCUGGCUUCACGCCAUCAUGUCGGACCUGGCUCCCGGCGUGCAGGAGUGGAGCAAUAAGAUGAAGAAAAUCGAGGAGGUGCUGGACUGCAGCGACAUCAACGCUCUGAAACUGAUCGUUGCUGCAAUGCAGAAGGACAGUUUAAUAGCGAGUGAGGACCUGCACAGGCUGCUGCGAUGGAAGGGUCUUUCCAAACGGGACGUCAGGGAGGUGCUGGACGCCAUUUGUGACGACUACAACCCCGGAGCAUCAUCCAGAGCCUGGUGCUCAUGUCUGGGGAGCUGAAGAGGGUCCUUCUCAGAUGAUCUCUGAUCUCAGAGAUCCUGUACGAACUCUCAGGACCUGAAGAAACACUUUUAGGUCCGACUCUGCUGCUACUGAGUAGUGUUGCCCUUCAGGUUGAGGUACACAGAAUUUUUUCAUAGACUUUAUCUAAAAAUCUGCUCGGCAUCUAUUCUGGAUCUUAUUUAUUGUUGGUGAUUGGUCCGUUUACUGCUCUUAAUGUAUUGGCUUGUACAUUUGUACAUGCUGCCUUUUUGUAGUGUUUGUACUCGUACAAAGCUGUUCGAGCACUUGGAGGUUCUUACGUCAUGUUAAUAGUUUUAAUAGGUUUUUUAUGUAUCUAUUUUUAUGUUUUUCACCACAGACAGAUCCUCUACUAUAAGAGCUGCCUUUUGUGCUGUUGAGUUUCCAUUAGUGUAAUUUACUAAAUUGUUUAAUGUUGACUUUUGGUUUUAAUGAUUUACAGUCUCUCUUUAAAGUAUAUAGUUCUGCUUUGCCCACGACCCAGAAUGGGGAAAAAAAUGGAUGAAUGGAUGAUCUGCUUAGGUGAAUUUCAUUUACUUCUGUAAUCAUUUAUAAUCCAUCCUUGGAUUUUUAGUUACUAGGAAGCAACUUACACUUUUCUUUUUCCGUCGUCAGUGUAAUGAAGAAAGCCUGAUUUUAUUAAGUGUGUGUGUGUGUCUCUAUUGUAUUGUUAACAAUCUAUCAGCAGAGGAGGGGAGGCUGGUGAAAGUGGGUAGAGCUUUUAGCUUGUUAGCUAACACUGUGGAAGUGGGAAGAUCGCAGGUUUUCUGGUUAUCUUUGUCCACAAUACUGAUUUUGAGUGCAUAAGUACACCCCAUUGAUGAGCUUAGCCGUAACCUAUAUAAAAACAAAGUCACAAUCAGGGGAUAUGCAACGUUUACUCUUUUUACUGAACAGUAUCAAAACAGCGUUACAUUGCAUUCGCUAACGCUAACAGUCUUAGCUUGUCUGCAUUCACCACCACUGCCGCCUAGUGUCCCAUUAAGUAAUUACGUCUAAACCUUUCCUACGUCAUAUGGUCAAUAUCUCAAUAACCUCUCAUUUCUGCUUUAUAUUUCUUCAAGCUCAUUUGACCGUCAACUACAGAAUGAACUAUCACCACUGACAGCAAAAUACCACGCCUCUAGCUCAUGCCUUAACACAUGUCCAUCCACAUGUACAUCCUAAUUUAAUAUACAGUUGAUCUAUCUGAGAGAUCGCCUAAACAUGACCAAAUAUGUCAGCAAACAUACAAAAACCUAAAUAUAUAUAUACUGUGUAUAUAUAAAAUACACAGUAACAACAUGGGAUCCUCUUGCUAUUUAAAAAAGACGGGAGACGUACAGCACGGUACGUUGUCGAUGCUAGGCUGAAAUUACGUCACUUUAAAACAUCGACUUUAUAAAUACAUUGCUCAAAAAAAUAAAAGGGAACGCUUAAACA